GCCUUCGUAGUGUAAUGGUAAGCACGCUCGGCGCGUAUUCGAGAGGUCGGUGGUUCGAGUCCCGGCGAGGGCA
rnacentral:tRNA from 1 species